UACGUAGGGUGCAAGCGUUAAUCGGAAUUACUGGGCGUAAAGCGCACGUAGGCGGUCUUUUAAGUCAGGGGUGAAAUCCUGGAGCUCAACUCCAGAACUGCCUUUGAUACUGAGGAGCUCGAGUCCGGGAGAGGUGAGUGGAACUCCGAGUGUAGAGGUGAAAUUCGUAGAUAUUCGGAAGAACACCAGUGGCGAAGGCGGCUCACUGGCCCGGUACUGACGCUGAGGUGCGAAAGCGUGGGGAGCAAACAGG
rnacentral:rRNA from 1 species